GCGUAUGGCCUUACCGCUGUGAGUCCACCUGAUCUCCUCUGAUCUCUGAAGCUAACAGAUUGAGCCUGGUUAGUGCUUGGAUGGGAAGGCACUUGGGAAUACUGGGUGCUGUAGCA
rnacentral:rRNA from 1 species